rnacentral:rRNA from 1 species
GAAGAUGACGAGCGGCGGACGGGUGAGUAAUGCCUGGGAAUUUGCCCAUUUGUGGGGGAUAACAGUUGGAAACGACUGCUAAUACCGCAUACGCCCUACGGGGGAAAGCAGGGGACCUUCGGGCCUUGCGCUGAUGGAUAAGCCCAGGUGGGAUUAGCUAGUAGGUGAGGUAAAGGCUCACCUAGGCGACGAUCCCUAGCUGGUCUGAGAGGAUGAUCAGCCACACUGGGACUGAGACACGGCCCAGACUCCUACGGGAGGCAGCAGUGGGGAAUAUUGCACAAUGGGGGAAACCCUGAUGCAGCCAUGCCGCGUGUGUGAAGAAGGCCUUCGGGUUGUAAAGCACUUUCAGCGAGGAGGAAAGGGUGUAAGUUAAUACCUUACAUCUGUGACGUUACUCGCAGAAGAAGCACCGGCUAACUCCGUGCCAGCAGCCGCGGUAAUACGGAGGGUGCGAGCGUUAAUCGGAAUUACUGGGCGUAAAGCGUGCGCAGGCGGUUUGUUAAGCGAGAUGUGAAAGCCCCGGGCUCAACCUGGGAACCGCAUUUCGAACUGGCAAACUAGAGUCUUGUAGAGGGGGGUAGAAUUCCAGGUGUAGC